AACGCCGGGAGUUGUCAAAUUACCGUGUGGUUAUUCCAAGACCAAGCUAUUUUAGCGUGUUUGAUUUAUACCUCCAGGAAAUCGGGGCAACGUAUGUUGAAGUCUGAGACAGAGUGUCUGCGUCGGCCGGUAGGUUUACUUAGAAAAUAUUAUUGUUCAAAGUAGGCUCUCGAGCCUGGAUAAUGGUGCAUGAUAGAAUAAUGGAUUAGGACCUCGGUUCUAUUUUGUUGGUUUUCGGAGCGCGAAGUAUUGAUUAAGACGAUGGCAUUCGGACAGACAGGGACAUUCGUAUUGUGCCGUUAGAGGUGAAAUUCUUGAAUUGGCGCAAGACGAACCACUGCGAAAGCAUUUACCAAGAAUGUUUUUUUAAAUCAAGAGCGAAAGUUAGAGUUUCGAAUAAAAGUUUCAAAAACCUUUAAAACCUUAACCGCACGGGGUCAGUGUUGGGGUCGAAUUGAAGUUCAUCCGUUGUCGAUUUUCAACUGCAGCUGUUCGGCCGGUUGGCUUUGACUGCUAAUCGAUUGAUAAACCUUUUUUGU
rnacentral:ncRNA from 1 species